rnacentral:lncRNA from 1 species
CCACCGGCCUCACAGCUGCCCGAAUAUUACGUGUCUGCCUUUCUCCACUGAAUAGGCAGUGUUUCCAAGGGCCAGUGAGUGAUUCUUUAGCAGGUUCUGCUGAUGAAUCAGGCCGACAUUAGUUGGGCAGGAAGGUUCACUGCACAGCUCGAAUGCUUUGGGAGGUUGUUUGUCAAAGAGGUCUGGCUUAGUGGUUUAGCAGCAAACAAAGCAUGUGCUUGGUUUUCAAUCUAUU